rnacentral:rRNA from 1 species
UACGGGGGGGGUAAGCGUUGUUCGGAAUUACUGGGCGUAAAGGGCUCGUAGGCGGCCAACUAAGUCGGACGUGAAAUCCCCCAGCUUAACUGGGGAACUGCGUCCGAUACUGGAUGGCUUGGAUUUGGGAGAGGGAUGCGGAAUUCCAGGUGUAGCGGUGAAAUGCGUAGAUAUCUGGAGGAACACCGGUGGCGAAGGCGGCAUCCUGGACCAAUAUUGACGCUGAGGAGCGAAAGCUAGGGGAGCAAACAGG